GAGUUUGAUCAUGGCUCAGAAUCAACGCUGGCGGCGUGCCUCAGACAUGCAAGUCGAACGAUUAAAGCUCUCUUCGGAGAGUGCAUAGAGUGGCGCACGGGUGAGUAACACGUAAGUAAUCUACCCUCGAGUGGGGAAUAACAACCGGAAACGGUUGCUAAUACCGCAUAAUGCAGCGGCACCGCAAGGUGACAGUUGUUAAAGAUUUAUCGCUUGAGGAGGAGCUUGCGGCAGAUUAGCUAGUUGGUAAGGUAAUGGCUUACCAAGGCUACGAUCUGUAACCGGUCUAAGAGGACGGUCGGUCACACUGACACUGAGUAACGGGUCAGACUCCUACGGGAGGCAGCAGUCGGGAAUUUUGGGCAAUGGGCGAAAGCCUGACCCAGCAACGCCGCGUGAAGGAUGAAGUAUUUCGGUAUGUAAACUUCGAAAGAAUAGGAAGAAUAAAUGACGGUACUAUUUAUAAGGUCCGGCUAACUACGUGCCAGCAGCCGCGGUAAUACGUAGGGACCAAGCGUUGUUCGGAUUUACUGGGCGUAAAGGGCGCGUAGGCGGUGU
rnacentral:rRNA from 1 species